UCCUGGGGCUGGAGUAGGUCCCAAGGGUUGGGCUGUUCGCCCAUUAAAGCGGUACGCGAGCUGGGUUUAGAACGUCGUGAGACAGUUCGGUCCCUAUCCGCUGCGCGCGUAGGAAAUUUGAGAGGAUCUGACCCUAGUACGAGAGGACCGGGUUGGACGAACCUCUGGUGUGCCAGUUGUUCUGCCAAGAGCACCGCUGGUUAGCUACGUUCGGGAUGGAUAACCGCUGAAAGCAUCUAAGCGGGAAGCCGGCCUCAAGAUGAGAUUUCCAUGCCUUCGGGCGAGAGGCUCCCAGCCAGACUACUGGGUUGAUAGGCCGGAUGUGGAAGCGCGGUAACGCGUGAAGCUGACCGGUACUAAUAAGCCGAUGACUUGAUAACACA
rnacentral:rRNA from 1 species